rnacentral:rRNA from 1 species
CCUACGGGAUGCAGCAGUGGGGAAUAUUGCACAAUGGGCGCAAGCCUGAUGCAGCCAUGCCGCGUGUAUGAAGAAGGCCUUCGGGUUGUAAAGUACUUUCAGCGGGGGGGAAGGGAGUGAGGUUAAUAACCUCAUUCAUUGACGUUACCCGCAGAAGAAGCACCGGCUAACUCCGUGCCAGCAGCCGCGGUAAUACGGAGGGUGCAAGCGUUAAUCGGAAUUACUGGGCGUAAAGCGCACGCAGGCGGUCUGUCAAGUCGGAGGUGAAAGCCCCGGGCUCAACCUGGGAACUGCAUUCGAAACUGGCAGGCUGGAGUAUUGGAGAGGGGGGUAGAAUUCCAGGUGUAGCGGUGAAAUGCGUAGAGAUCUGGAGGAAUACCGGUGGCGAAGGCGGCCACCUGGACAAAGACUGACGCUCAGGUGCGAAAGCGUGGGGAGCAAACAGGAUUAGAUACCCGGGUAGUC